GGAGCAGAUAUUAAAGACCUGCUAAAUACAACGCUGGACCCAUAGGCCAGGAGGUGGAGGGGCAAGAAAAGUCACCUGAGAUUGAAGCACCCGGGUCUCCAGCUCCUUCUCCAGCCCCUGCAAGGUGGCCUCCUCCCUCCAUACCCUGCACAUCUCAGCAGAAUGAAGACCCUCCUCCAGAGAAGGCACCGGUGACAGAGGGCCAGCGAGGGUGGAGAGGUCCCGAAAAGGAUUAAGUCUGAAGCUGCCCAUUCCGAGCUGCCUUCCUGCCUUGUCCUCACACACCAGGCAGCCCCCGCAUAUGCUCAGAGAACCAGAGAGGUCCAGGCCAAAGAGAAAACACCUCCACACGUUGCCAUGUGCUAGAUGUUCUACUGGAGUCCACGUUGCUGGGGCAGACAGUGGUUCGCCUUCAAGUUCUUCUUACAUUUCCAUGAACUGCGGGAGGCAGGGCAGUGAAUCAGUCCCACCCACAGCUUACAGGGACAAGGAAGCAUCCCCUAGCAGGUGGCGGAGACUGGAGAGACAGAGUGAACAGGUCACAAAGUGCCCCAAACACGGAGUCACAGAAACAGAACCACCAAAGGACAGACAGCACAGUGGUCUCCCCCCAAGGGCUCCGUCUGCAUGGCCUCCUUCCUGGUCUUCAGCCUCAUCCAGGAUGGGUUUGCCGUGAAGACCCUGCUCAGACCAGCACUCAGCAAAUGCUUCCUGAGCUCCUGUCAUGGACGUGUGCGGGAUCCCAAGAGAAGGAAGAGUUCCAGGGAGCAGCAGGGUGCAGGACUGGCUAGAAGAAUCAUGACCAAGGAUGUGGCCUAAGCUAGAGUUUCCCAAGAAAGACCGGCCUUGACCUGCUUGGAAGGUCAGAAUUCACCCAGGCUCCCAUCUUAGAGGCCCAGAACUCUCCUCACACCUCUAACAUCAGGCUGAGAACAAGGGAGAAGGGAGAUGAGCCCCAAGAAGUCCUAGACACGUUGGUGUGCAUCUGUGGGUCUGUGUCCUUUGUUGGGAGCUAACCUGGGACAGUUGCAAG